GGGCGUGCGGAUUUGGGGCACACUAGGUGGCGGGCCCGGAAACUGGAAGUUCCACGGCGGUCUUUUCCUCGGGUCUCUUCGUCCCGGAGCCGCUGUCGUGUGCCUCAUUUUUCCCGGUUGUGAAAUGAAGAUGCUGAUGCUUUUCACCCCUUCACCCGGAAUCUGUGGCCUGGGAACUCUUCAAGAAAUGCUGACAUGAAGUUUGAGAAGUGCUGGUUCAGAGAGGCUUGAAAAAGCACCUGGGCUUUAUUUGGAAGCGGAGCAGCAGCUGAUGCCUCCCUAAAUGUUCUGCAGAUCCCAGAGCAAAGACCUCUGAGUCUACCGCCCCACCCUGCCCAGCCACGGCUCACUCCUGCGGUGGGCUCUGCCAGAGGAGGAAGAGUGGGACCCUCAAGCUCUCUCUGGGUCCUCAGCUCCAGUCUCGACUUUCUCUGCUCUUCAGUGUACAGGAUGGAAAACACGGAUGCAGUGGCUUCAGGUUUUUAUAUGAAAGUAACAUCAGCCAUUCAGAGAGAGUCUGACUUGACAUCGUGCCACAUUCAAAAUUCUCAGGAUGAAAAUGGAAAGGGGACUUCCUCUCAAGACUUGACCAAAGGGCUGAGCUGAAUAAGGCAGGAUUUCAGAUCCAGCUCCAUGUAUAUGUCUGUGAAGAUCAGAGAAAGACAUUGUCUAGGUCUUUGAAGAGGUCCUGAAAUCUUGUUCACCUUCUUUCCAUUACCCCAAUUCCCCAAUCUAUUUUUGUUUAACUUUUUUUGUUGCAAAUGACAAAAAUUCAGCCAAACUAGCUAAAGCUCCUAAACUGUUUUUAUUAGUUUAUAUGUCUAAGAGGAUAGGCAUGAAGAUAUUGAUAGGCACAACAGAAGCCACGGAUCAAACAAUGUAUUUGGGACUCUUUCUCCA
rnacentral:lncRNA from 1 species